AUUAAUUUGAUAUGUGAAGCAGAUAAACAAAUAUUAACAAUAUGGACGCAAAUGGCAUCUCAUCUUCUUGCAACAAUGAUGACAAAAUCUCAUCUUCUUGUAACAACAACAAAGACAACAUCUCAUCUUCUUGCAACAACAACAAUGAAACAUCUCAUCUUCUUGCAACAACAACAAUGACAACAUCUCAUCUUCUUGCAACAACAAUGAUGACAACAUCUCAUCUUCUUGCAACAACGAUGACAACAUCUCAUCUUCUUGCAACAACGAUGACAACAUCUCAUCUUCUUGCAACGCCGAUGACACCAUCUCAUCUUAUUGCAACGAUGAUCCAUAUCCUAUAUCUCAAGAUGAACAAACCCGAGAGGUUACAGUUAGAUUUGUGAAAGGGAGCGUCUUAUUCAAUUUUUUCAACCAAGAGAUAAAAAAUGGUGUUAUGGUGAAAAUCAUCCAAGAGAUAGAGAAUCGUACCUAAGUAUCACCAACUACAAUGCUAUUCCACUCAAUGGUGGUUCAACUUUUAAUGUAACUAUGGUGGCUCAGACGGAGCCAAAUUUCAAUGUAAGCCAAGAUGGCCAACAAGAUUUUGUGAACGAUUUUCUUAACUCCAUUUGAUUAGAUACGUUAUAUAUAUAUAUGGAGUAAUUUGUAACCAUCUCUCAUUGCAGAAUUACAUUUGUGAGUAUGUUAUGAAACUCGGUAAAUUACUUAAUUUCAGAUGCUACCUUACUAUUCAUCAUGUUGAUAGUAAGCUAGCUAAGCAUGUUAGUUGGACUCUUAAGGUUUAAUAUUGGUGUAGAAUGUUGAGAUCAAUUAAUCCCUUAAGCUAUAUUUAUUGGGUGUAAGCCAUUUGGAAUUUCGGAUUUUUUAUCCUAUUCAUUAGUUGUGUAGAAA